rnacentral:rRNA from 1 species
GACGAACGCUGGCGGCGUGCUUAACACAUGCAAGUCGAACGGAAAGGCCCUGCUUUUGUGGGGUGCUCGAGUGGCGAACGGGUGAGUAACACGUGAGUAACCUGCCCUUGACUUUGGGAUAACUUCAGGAAACUGGGGCUAAUACCGGAUAGGAGCUCCUGCUGCAUGGUGGGGGUUGGAAAGUUUCGGCGGUUGGGGAUGGACUCGCGGCUUAUCAGCUUGUUGGUGGGGUAGUGGCUUACCAAGGCUUUGACGGGUAGCCGGCCUGAGAGGGUGACCGGCCACAUUGGGACUGAGAUACGGCCCAGACUCCUACGGGAGGCAGCAGUGGGGAAUAUUGCGCAAUGGGCGGAAACCUGAUGCAGCAACGCCGCGUGCGGGAUGACGGCCUUCGGGUUGUAAACCGCUUUCGCCUGUGACGAAGCGUGAGUGACGGUAAUGGGUAAAGAAGCACCGGCUAACUACGUG